rnacentral:rRNA from 1 species
AAAAAAAAAUUAGUGUUAGCUCCAACCCGUAACGCCAGUCCUUUCUCCCCCCGCGGCGAUCGCCGGAGAGGAGAGGAGCGGAGGGGAUGGACGCGGCGGCGCCGUCGCGGCGCGCGGGGCCGAGGCGGGACAGGCCCCUCAUCCCGCCCAACUACGUCAGCCUCCGGGACCUCCAGGAGCUCCGCCUCAAGGAGCAGGCCGAGCGGCGGCGGCGCCAGGAGGAGGAGGAGGCCGCCGCCAGGAGGGAGGCCGAGCAGGAGGAGGAGGAGCGGCGGCUGCGGAAGGAGGCGGAGGAGCAGGCCGCCGCGAGGAGGGCCAAGGAGGAGGAGGCCGUGGCGGCGAGGAGGGUUAGGGAUGCGGCGGCGGCGGCGGAGAUGAAGGGCUCCUCCUCCUCGUCGCGUGCCCCCUUCAGGUAUAAUGAGAGGCCCCGCGCAGGGCCGCGCGGGGAGGGUUCGGCCCUGAAUAGUGGUGGCGCCGCGGGAGGCAGCAAGGGGCCGGGCGGCGACGCGGCCGAUGGAACCCUAGGCGGCGGAGGUGGAGGCAGGGCGCGGGAUGAGGGGAAGGGCAAGGCCUCUGCGGGCUUGAUUGCCGGCGACCCAGCCGAGACAGCUACCAGCGGCAAGCCGAACGAGAAGAGCAAUGGGGAGGCCUCUGGAUGUCAGGGCACCGCAUUGGGGACGAGCAGCGUGCCAGGCGAGCUGGCCGAGGUGGACACUGCUUCAUACCGAGGCGGCGUCAAGCCGAGGUACAAGAACAAGGGGAAGAAGGGUUUCGAUGGCCGGAGCACAGAGACAGCCAUGACCGGCUCUUUGGUUGAGGUGGUGAAGGCAUCGCCACCGCGAGUCGUUGAUUCGGAGAACAAGGGGAAUGCUGGAUCGAGUAAUCAGAGCACUGGAAAAGCUUCGGCAAGCUCACAGGGCGAGGCAGCUGAGGAUUCACCACUGCAGGGAGUCAAGUCGGAUAACAAGUGGAAUAAGAAGAACAAACCCUCAGGAGGAAGGCAGGCGGGCGCACCACCGAGCGGCGAUUGGCCGAACAGGAGGAGGGACCAGCCUCGUCCGUCCGCUGAGGGUAGCCGCGGCCGGAGGAAUGGCGAUGGUCAAGGAGCCGUAUGGGAAGUAAAAUCCGAUGGCCUUGGGGGAAAGCAGCCGGAGGUGGAGGGGAAGGCCCACUCGCAUCUGCCCACUGAGAGCAGCAGUAACAGAAGGAGGGGCAGUGGUCAAGGAAUGACCAGGAAGGGAAAAUUUGAAGACUCUGGGGAGAAGGAGCUGGUGGUUGAGAUGAGGGCGCAUCCGCAUCCAGCUGCUGACAGCAGUAGCUAUCAAAGCAGCAGCGGUGAUCAAGGAAUGGCCGGGAAGGCAAGAUCUGAGGACUUCGGGGAUAAGCAGCCGGUGGGAAGGAGCAGCGGUGAUCAAGGGAUGAACCAGGAGGCAAAAUCUGAGCGCUUCGAGGAGAAGCAGUCGGCUGUGGAGAUGAGAGCUGUAAAGACCUACCGUGGGCAGCGGCCUGGCGGUUGCAGCCGAGUGAAUGGCACCACAAGGCAGCCCGGCAGCAUCUGGGUUCCAAAGGCUGCUGCUGUCCCAGUCCGCACCGAAGUCGGAAACAUUCCAUAGACAGGAAGUAUAUAUAGUAGUAAUAUGUGGCAAGAUGUGCCAGUGGUAGAUUUUCGACAAAUGAAGGUGCUAAAUCCUAUUUAUAAAUAGGAAGUGCAUGUAGAAUGUAGGUGCCCAUGUAGGGCCGGCGGGCUUUGAGAUUGCCAAAUUGGUUUGCCAGACUUUGAUAUUUGCUAGAUUGGUUCUGCGGUAAUAAAAAUAUUGUAAUCUCUGUAGAUUCCUGCUGUAAUUAAAUCAUUGCAAUAUUUUGGUGGAAUUUGCACAAGAUCCUUGCAUUCCAAACAUAUUGCAUAAACAAAAAGGCAUGGCAUUGCAGGUGAG